rnacentral:lncRNA from 1 species
UUGUAACCCUAGGUUGUUAGCCUAUAUAAGGCGGUCAGGGACGCCCCCAAGGGCACGUUAACUCUCCGCAUACCAUACUAGCAAUACAAUCCACCAGAACACAGGACGUAAGGUAUUACUCUCUAAAGGCCCGAACCUAUCUAAACCUUGCGCCCCUGUGUUACCAUUCGAGUUCUUGGUCUUACGAUCUCCCCCACCUACAAAUCUACCACCUGGGUAACUCCUGUUGGACUGCCG